rnacentral:rRNA from 1 species
CCGGUAAACGGCGGCCGUAACUAUAACGGUCCUAAGGUAGCGAAAUUCCUUGUCGGGUAAGUUCCGACCUGCACGAAUGGCGUAAUGAUGGCCAGGCUGUCUCCACCCGAGACUCAGUGAAAUUGAACUCGCUGUGAAGAUGCAGUGUACCCGCGGCAAGACGGAAAGACCCCGUGAACCUUUACUAUAGCUUGACACUGAACAUUGAGCCUUGAUGUGUAGGAUAGGUGGGAGGCUUUGAAGUGUGGACGCCAGUCUGCAUGGAGCCGACCUUGAAAUACCACCCUUUAAUGUUUGAUGUUCUAACGUUGGCCCCUAAUCGGGGUUGCGGACAGUGUCUGGUGGGUAGUUUGACUGGGGCGGUCUCCUCCUAAAGAGUAACGGAGGAGCACGAAGGUUGGCUAAUCCUGGUCGGACAUCAGGAGGUUAGUGCAAUGGCAUAAGCCAGCUUGACUGCGAGCGUGACGGCGCGAGCAGGUGCGAAAGCAGGUCAUAGUGAUCCGGUGGUUCUGAAUGGAAGGGCCAUCGCUCAACGGAUAAAAGGUACUCCGGGGAUAACAGGCUGAUACCGCCCAAGAGUUCAUAUCGACGGCGGUGUUUGGCACCUCGAUGUCGGCUCAUCACAUCCUGGGGCUGAAGUAGGUCCCAAGGGUAUGGCUGUUCGCCAUUUAAAGUGGUACGCGAGCUGGGUUUAGAACGUCGUGAGACAGUUCGGUCCCUAUCUGCCGUGGGCGCUGGAGAACUGAGGGGGGCUGCUCCUAGUACGAGAGGACCGGAGUGGACGCAUCACUGGUGUUCGGGUUGUCAUGCCAAUGGCACUGCCCGGUAGCUAAAUGCGGAAGAGAUAAGUGCUGAAAGCAUCUAAGCACGAAACUUGCC